AGACCCGAAACCCGGUGAUCUAGCCAUGGGCAGGUUGAAGGUUGGGUAACACUAACUGGAGGACCGAACCGACUAAUGUUGAAAAAUUAGCGGAUGACCUGUGGCUGGGGGUGAAAGGCCAAUCAAACCGGGAGAUAGCUGGUUCUCCCCGAAAGCUAUUUAGGUAGCGCCUCGUGAAUUCAUCUCCGGGGGUAGAGCACUGUUUCGGCUAGGGGGCCAUCCCGGCUUACCAACCCGAUGCAAACUGCGAAUACCGGAGAAUGUUAUCACGGGAGACACACGGCGGGUGCUAACGUCCGUCGUGAAGAGGGAAACAACCCAGACCGCCAGCUAAGGUCCCAAAGUCAUGGUUAAGUGGGAAACGAUGUGGGAAGGCCCAGACAGCCAGGAUGUUGGCUUAGAAGCAGCCAUCAUUUAAAGAAAGCGUAAUAGCUCACUGGUCGAGUCGGCCUGCGCGGAAGAUGUAACGGGGCUAAACCAUGCACCGAAGCUGCGGCAGCGAACGUAUCACCCAAGACAACUUUACGGAGUUGACGAUUGACGGAGCGAAGCGACGUCAAAGCGUUCAUUAAAGUCGAGUUGGCUUAGGGAUACGUUCGUUGGGUAGGGGAGCGUUCUGUAAGCCUGUGAAGGUGUGUCGUGAGGCAUGCUGGAGGUAUCAGAAGUGCGAAUGCUGACAUAAGUAACGAUAAAGCGGGUGAAAAGCCCGCUCGCCGGAAGACCAAGGGUUCCUGUCCAACGUUAAUCGGGGCAGGGUGAGUCGACCCCUAAGGCGAGGCCGAAAGGC
rnacentral:rRNA from 2 species